rnacentral:rRNA from 1 species
GACGAACGCUGGCGGCGUGCUUAACACAUGCAAGUCGAACGGAAAGGCCCUGCUUGCCGGGUGCUCGAGUGGCGAACGGGUGAGUAACACGUGGGUGUUCUGCCCCUUACUUUGGGAUAAGCCCUGUAAACUGGGUCUAAUACUGGAUAGGACCAUGCUGGACGUGGUGUGGUGGAAAGAUUUUUUCGGUAAGGGAUGAGCUCGCGGCCUACCAGCUUGUGGGUGGGGUAAUGGCCUGCCAAGGCGUCAACGGGUAGCCGGCCUGAGAGGGUGGACGGACACUCAGCGGCUGAACUGCGACCCAGACUCAUCCGGGAAGCCGACGUGGGGAAGACUGCACGAGGGGCGGACGCCGGAGGCAGCGCCGGCGCUUCGGGGAUGCCGGCCUUCGGGUUGUAAGAUCCUUGCAGAGCUGACGAAGCCGCUGUGGGAGUGACGGUAGUGGUAGAAGAAGCACCGGCUAACUCCGUG